UGGGGAAUCUUGCGCAAUGGGCGAAAGCCUGACGCAGCCAUGCCGCGUGAAUGAUGAAGGUCUUAGGAUUGUAAAAUUCUUUCACCGGGGACGAUAAUGACGGUACCCGGAGAAGAAGCCCCGGCUAACUUCGUGCCAGCAGCCGCGGUAAUACGAAGGGGGCUAGCGUUGCUCGGAAUUACUGGGCGUAAAGGGCGCGUAGGCGGACAUUUAAGUCAGGGGUGAAAUCCCAGAGCUCAACUCUGGAACUGCCUUUGAUACUGGAUGUCUUGAGUAUGAGAGAGGUAUGUGGAACUCCGAGUGUAGAGGUGAAAUUCGUAGAUAUUCGGAAGAACACCAGUGGCGAAGGCGACAUACUGGCUCAUUACUGACGCUGAGGCGCGAAAGCGUGGGGAGCAAACAGGAUUAGAUACCCUGGCAGUCCACGCCGUAAACGAUGAUUGCUAGUUGUCGGGAUGCAUGCAUCUCGGUGACGCAGCUAACGCAUUAAGCAAUCCGCCUGGGGAGUACGGUCGCAAGAUU
rnacentral:rRNA from 1 species